UACGUAGGGUGCAAGCGUUGUCCAGAAUUAUUGGGCGUAAAGAGCUCGUAGGCGGUCUGUCGCGUCGGCUGUGAAACUCGGGGCUCAACCCCGAGCCUGCAGUCGAUACGGGCAGACUAGAGUGCUGUAGGGGAGACUGGAAUUCCUGGUGUAGCGGUGGAAAUGCGCAGAUAUCAGGAGGAACACCGGUGGCGAAGGCGGGUCUCUGGGCAAGUAACUGACGCUGGAGGACGAAAGCGUGGG
rnacentral:rRNA from 1 species